rnacentral:rRNA from 1 species
AUUGAACGCUGGCGGAAUGCUUUACACAUGCGAGUCGAGCGGCAGCGCGGCCUUCGGGCUGGCGGCGAGCGGCGAACGGGUGAGUAAUGCAUCGGAACAUGCCCAGUCGUGGGGGAUAACACUUCGAAAGAAGUGCUAAUACCGCAUACGUCCUGAGGGGGAAAGCGGGGGAUCGCAAGACCUCGCGCGAUUGGAGUGGCCGAUGUCAGAUUAGCUAGUUGGUGGGGUAAAGGCCUACCAAGGCGACGAUCUGUAGCUGGUCUGAGAGGAUGAUCAGCCACACUGGGACUGAGACACGGCCCAGACUCCUACGGGAGGCAGCAGUGGGGAAUUUUGGACAGUGGGGGCAACCCUGAUCCAGCCAUUCCGCGUGAGUGAAGAAGGCCUUCGGGUUGUAAAGCUCUUUCGGCAGGAACGAAACGGUGGGCUCUAACAUAGUCCGCUAAUGACGGUACCUGAAGAAGAAGCACCGGCUAACUACGUG